rnacentral:tRNA from 1 species
GCCCAGGUGAUUCAGUGGUAAAGAAUCUGCCUGCAGUGCAGAAGACCCAGGUUCGAUACCUGGGUUGGGAA